ensembl:lincRNA 5330426L24Rik RIKEN cDNA 5330426L24 gene
CUCAGGUAUAAAGACGAAGAUAAGGUUCCUGGGAAAAAAGGGACGAAGCACUAAGGUUCUCAGGAAUAGAGACGAAGGGAAUUUAAACAAUAUGGGUUCAACUGCAUCUAAAGUGAAAGUAAAAAUGGUGUUGAUCGAGCUUCUUAAAAGAAGCGGUAUUAACAUGAAAGCAGAGACCGUGGACAGACUUCUGGACACCCUCUCCAAGGAAGCCUCAUGGUUUUUAGAGGAAGGGUAUGUUAAUCAGCAGUGCUUGGAGUAUUUGGGAAGGGAUCUCUGAGCUUCUGAUAUGAAGAACCCUCUACCUGUAGGGAUGUUAGCCAUCUGGAACUUGGUUAGGGCAUGCUUUAGGGACGCCAGUGGAAAGUACAAUGCUGAAAUAGAGGAAGCGGUGGCGCUUGAGGAGGCUAAGGAGAUUGCUUCUCAGGCUAGCCGCUGAAAACCUAAACAGCUUAGACAACAAACCAAAGAUAAGAAAGAGAAGAAGGAAUCUAGCUCUGAAGGGUCUACUAGUGACAGCGACGGGACUGAGAGCGACAGUGAUGUCUGUAGUCAGAUGUCCCGCUGGAGUUUGAGGCACAGUAGGCCACCCGAACCAUCAGCCCCUCCGUUGCCUUCUCCCCCCGCCCCCAUAAAGACAAGGGAGACAAAGGGGGAAAGCAUAGUCUUCAUGCAAAUGUCUGGAAAAAUGUGCCCACCGUUGCGAGAGCCUUCCCAGUACUUCAGGACCAACAGGGGCAAUGGUAUCAUGAACCCCUGGAUUGGAAGGUUGUACAGAGAUUGAAGGAGUCAGUUUCAACUUAUGGGGUCCAGGCUGCCUUUACCGUAACUCAGGUUGAGUCCCUACAGCGGUACUGUAUGACUCCUUUUGAUUGGCAGAAACUCUGCAAGGCUGUUCUUUCAGGAGAAGGUUAUUUAACAUGGAAGGCUGCUUAUAUUGAGCAUGCCAUUGAGCAGGCUGCAGCUAAUGCUGCUGCUGGACUCCCCAAUGCAGCCUGGAAUAUAGAGAUGUUAAUGGGGCAAGGGAAUUUUGCCAACAAUCAAACAGGUUAUCCUAUACAGGUUUAUGAGCAGAUUAAUAACUGUGCUCUCAGAACUUGGAGGAUGCUACCAGGCACUGGAGACCUUGGGGCCAGCUUGUCUAAGGUGACACAUUUGAAAGCUGGUAUCCUUAUGGUUAACCAAAGAGUGGAUUGGUUGCAGGAACAGAUGAAUAUUUUGGAGCAGUUAGUAUUUGCUUCCUGCAUUACUCAUAUAUCAGGAAUGUGUGUAACUUCUGUUCAGUGUCAGAAUUUUUCCAGAGCUGCAAAUCUGUCACGUGCAAUUGGUGCGAUGCUGCUAGGAAAUUGGAGUCAUGAUCUCGACACAAAGAUGAAGGAAUUGCGAGCAUCGAUUGUUGCCAUGAACAACACCCAUGUGGAGAUUGCAACUGCAAAGCAAUGGCUGGAGAUCCAUCCAGGGAACUGUGGGAUUCUUUAAAAAUUGGGGAGGGAUGGCCUUUCGAGCACUCCUGCUGACUGUUGUGUGUGGAGGAAUGCUUUGGUGGAUGGCACAUAUGCGAAGGUGGCACAGGGCUGAUAAACAAGCCUUAGUGCAGACUAUGGCAGCCUCGGAAGCAGGAACAUCUCCUCAAUGUUGGCUCAACAUGCUGGAUCAGUAAUCAAUGACGGGUAAGACCCUCCUGUGUGCAUACCAACGUAAGACAGGAUGGCAAAAGUGAGUUCGUCACUCCCAUGACAGGUAAGGAUGUGGCACAGAUGGGGGCAACCUAAGACAGAUGCUGAUCCCAGAGCUACUAAUAAAACAAAAAGGGGGAGAUGCGGGAAGCAGGUGCGGCCGCAUGGGCCUAGAUGGUGCCCUGGCCCAUUGCCAGGCCCCGUGAACCCCGCAUGUUUACUGCCUUGCCUGAGCAUGCGCAGUGAGGCUGCAUGUGUGGGCUGCCUGCCAGACUGGACUGUUCCUCGUGAUCCGGAUCUGUCAGCCUAUCGGUGACCGAUUUGAGCUUGUGUCUGGAGCGUGUGUGUGAUUUCUGAUUGAAUGAGGUGGGGUGGAGUGAGAUGAGGUCAGUCGGCGCGAGUAUAGGAGGGCUGUUGUUGUUGUUGCCCUUGCCCUAAGUGGAGAGAGCUGUAAGAAAAAAGCUGCAAGAAAAAGAAGAAGCUGUUGCGUGAACCCAA